ensembl:lncRNA
UUAUCUUGACAAACUUUAUUGAUUGUUAUUGUUAAGUGGAAGAACCAUAGUGCAUGCACAUACAAGGACAGGGGAGGGGGUAUCUCAUCACAACACCUAUGGAAGCAGAGGAUGUAGAGGGUAGGGACAGAGACACGCGGUGGUGUAGCCAGGAUACGUGUUGCCAUGCCCACUAAUGGUUCAGCAAACACAGGGCAGGGUCUUAACCCCCAGAACCUGCAGGAUGGUGCUAAACCCCACAACCUGCCUACAGGAUGGGACUUAACCCCCAGAACCUGCAGGAUGGUGCUAAAUCCCACAACCUGCAGACAGAAUGGGACUUAACCCCAGAACCUGCAGGAUGGUGCUAAACCCCACAACCUGCAGACAGAAUGGGACUUAACCCCAGAACCUGCAGGAUGGUGCUAAACCCCACAACCUGCAGACAGAAUGGGACUUAACCCCAGAACCUGCAGGAUGGGGCUAAAUCCCACAACCUGCAGAUGCCACUGCCUUUUUCAUGGGUUGCAUUUCUGAAUAUUUUUUCUUCUUCGUAUAAAUACAAAACGGAGAUAUGUAACAAACACCUCUGAUCAGGUUAAUUUGUAAACAAGGUGUAGGAAGAAAGGAGGGAGGAAAGGAGAGAGGAAGGAGGGAGGAAAGGAGGGAGGAAAGGAGGGAGGAAAGGAGGGAGGAAAGGAGGGAGGGGGGGGGGAAAGGAGGGAGGAAAGUAGGGAGGAAAGGAGGGAGGGAGGGAGGAAAGGAGGGAGGGAGGGAGGGAGGAAAGGAGGGAGGGAGGAUAUCAGGAAGAAAAGAGGGGUGUAAGGAAGUAUUUAGCUACGUGAGGUGAGCUGGGCGUUUCCUCUCGCCGCCCCUGGAGCACUUUAAAUCAACAACAGCUUAAUUUUUCAUAUUUACAUAAACGUCAUCUUUUUUUUUUCACAAGUCAUAUAUAUUUCUAAUUAAUCAAACAGUUUUUUUUUCAAAGUGUAAAGGCUGAGUUCUAGAAAAUAACAUUACAAAGGAGGUCACAUUACAAAUUAUAUCAAAACCCAAAUGAAAGACAAGUCAAUGUAAACAAAAACAAAAAGAGCCUAACUAACAAACAUCAACAGCGUACAGGACACUGACAUCUUUCACAGCCUAGUAGUAGUGAAGACCGUGUACAGGCUGUGUGUGUCUGUCGGCAAAAUAGUACAGCUGACCAUAAAAAUACCAUGAUAGUAUGUACAUUAUGAUUGCAUUACUUGUAGAUGAUCCAUCUGGAUAUGACGACUCCAUAAAGACAACGAGAAAAGCUUUUCCCCAAACCGUUGGUGUUGUAGCCUACAACUAAAACAUUACAGUUGUGUAUUUUGUGUUUGAAGAGAACACCUUCGUUGCACAGCUCAAACGUCUCCAUUAAUACAUUGUUGGUAUAUAUAUAUAUAUAUAUAUUUGUUUGUUUGUUCAGUUUUCAUCGGGUACAAAUAAUCAUAGUCGUAUAAUUUCUGGAGAGAAAAAAACAAACGAAACACAAAAGGUAAAUAUAGACAUUUUUUUAUAUUUUUUAAAUCUCUCCCAUAAUAUAAAAGUCAGCAACUAUAUCAAUAGAUAUACUGUAAUUUCUAUAAAAACAACAUCUGUACCAGUAUCAUUAUUAUUACUAUGGGAUAACCUAUAUCUAUAUAAAGGGUUUUGACUAAAGGGACUAGAUGAUGGUUUCAACAGUAAACCCUCCAUGGAGAAAAAGACCGCAUGCCUCCCAAAUGGCACCCUAUUCGCUAUAUAGUGCACUACUUUGAACAGGGCCCUAUGGCACCAUAUUCCCUAUAUAGUGCACUACUUUGAACAGGGCCCUAUGGCACCCUAUUCCCUACAUAGUGCACUACUUUGAACAGGGCCCUAUGGCACCCUAUUCCCUACAUAGUGCACUACUUUGAACAGGGCCCUAUGGCACCCUAUUCCCUAUAUAGUGCACUACUUUGAACAUGGGCCUACGGCACCCUGUCCCCUAUAUAGUGCACUACUCUAGACCCGAGCCUAAUUGCCUAUAUAGUGCACUACUUUGAACAGGGCCCUAUGGCACCCUGUCCCCUAUAUAGUGCACUACUCUAGACCCGAGCCUAAUUGCCUAUAUAGUGCACUACGUUGAACAGGGCCCUAUAGCACCCUAUUCCCUAUAUGGUGCACAACUUUGACCAGAGGCAUAUAGGGCCCUAUAUAGGGAAUAGUGUGCCAUAGGGCCCUGUCCAAAGCAGUGCACUAUAUAUAGGGAGUAGGGUGCCAUAGGGCCCUGUUCAAAGUAGUGCACUAUAUAGGGAAUAGGGGUCCGUUUGGGAAGCAGACUCUCUGUCCUCUAACCAUAAUAAGUUAUUCUCUGUAAAAAUCUGACUGCACACACAGAUGGAAAACCCCGGGAACAUCUGAACCUUUGGCUUUGAGUGAUAAACGAUGACAAUCACAACCAUCAUGAUCUAAUCCACACAUCAACGUCCUCACUGUUUAGCACACUGCCGACUACGCAUCAUCCACACACAACUACUCCCCUCCAUCUCUCUCUUUCCCAUCACCUGGUCUAAUAAUGACACAGCACUGUGUUGUGGGUUUAUAGUACCCCAUUUUACCCCCACCUCCCCUCCAUCUCUCUCUAUCCCAUCA